UACGAAGGGGGCUAGCGUUGUUCGGAAUUACUGGGCGUAAAGCGCGUGUAGGCGGUCGGGCAAGUCGGGUGUGAAAGCCCAGGGCUCAACCCUGGAAGUGCAUUCGAUACUGCCUGGCUAGAGUCCCGGAGAGGAUGGUGGAACUCUCGGUGUAGAGGUGAAAUUCGUAGAUAUCGAGAAGAACACCGGUGGCGAAGGCGGCCAUCUGGACGGUGACUGACGCUGAGACGCGAAAGCGUGGGGAGCAAACAGG
rnacentral:rRNA from 1 species